rnacentral:rRNA from 1 species
AUGAGUCCGGUCAGGCCGGUGGGAGGCAAUGCCAGAAAAGUUGCCUUGGAUGAAGAUUCUGAUACAAUGACUCUUGACAUGGGUGAGGCUAAUAAGAAGCUUCGCAUCACUAGCGAUGGUAUACAACAAUUAUUUGGUUUCCCUCAUGGUGGUCAUUCUGCGCCAAGGCCGUCAAAGGACGGAUAUGAUGACGCUCUGAUGAAGUUAAGAUCCGAGCUUGACAUUAGCAGGAACAAAGAUAUCAAGACAAAGGCUUUGAGGAAUAAGCUCAAGGUGCUCGUCAAGGAUCCUAGCAAAGAUGACCUUGCUCUGAAAGUGUUCUUCAUUAUUGUGUUUAUGAAGGUUGUGUUGCCUGGUUCUGCCCCGCUUGUUUCCAGAGAGGCAGCAAUGUUUGAGGGUCUCGUCUUUGAGGACAUGGCUAAAAUGGAUUAUUGCCAGCUGAUGGUUGAUGAGCUUAGAAGGGUUGUUGCCAAGUACCAGGAUGGUGAUACCAUGGGGAAGGCAAUCACAGGCUAUGCCAUAGGGCCUGUACUAAUGUACCUUGACUGCCUUAUCCGUGGCAAGACUGCGGAGCCUGACAUGCGAGUCCCCCGCAUAUGUUUCAUGGAUCCUACCAAGCUUUCUGAUCUGUUGAUGCAGAUUUGA